GGUCGGCUAUUGCUAUCACUAUAUGUUUUAGCUGUGAAAGUUAAUUUACGGUUAAGAUGUCAUUUCUAUAAGGAUAAAAUUACACACUACACUGCAAUGUUGUUCAUUGCUGUUUCUAUAAAGAGCAGCGUUUGCUUUUGCUAUAUGCUUUUUGCUAAGAUGUCAUUUCUACAAGGGUGACAUACGGAAACUGUACUGCAAUAUUGAUUGGUUGAUUAACACUUGUGUCACCUCGUAUUGUAACGCGCUUUUGAUUGGUUAGACAUUGUCGGUUAAAUACAAAGAGCAGCUUGCAGCCUCAAAGGCUUUUUUCCAUCCAAAUAUUUCAGUGCUGUUUCUAUAAAGGCAGCGUGCUGUUGCUAUAUGUCUUAGC